UCGGUUCCGGUGUCUUCCACUGGUCUCGCAUUCUGUGUGCAAUCCAGUCGUUGAUGAGAUCAGUGUUUGAUACGCGCUCCGAAAAACUGAUGCGCAUAAAAGAUUUGUUAAGGAUUCAAAUCGUGUUGUAUAGCACCACCUGCAGGUUGCAACGACCCGUAGACCACUUGGAUACACUUCCGAACAUUGCGCUGAAGUCCAUUCACUUUAGCGUUACAAGAACACACUCGAAGGUCUGUUCCACCACACAGUGAUGUUCAGUGAAGCCGGGCACAAGAAAAUACAGGAGUAAUUCCUAAAAUCCUGCAAACAACGGGGCCUCUGAAAGUGAAUGAAGUUGAGUCUUCAGUGUCAGAAACAUCAGAAGCUUUUAAUGCUAGAAAUGUCUUCUAGUAGUGUGCAGAAGAACAAUAUUUUCUCUCCAAAAGCAAACCGCAGUACCAAAGGAGGCAAGUCUUUCACCUGCCCUCAUUGUGGAAAGUGUUUCAAACACAUAGGUCAUUUUGAGGACCACAUGAAAGUUCACACUGGAGAGCGCCCAUUCACAUGUUCUCAGUGUGGAAAGGGUUUUAAACGCAGAUGUCAUUUUGUGGAGCACAUGAAAGUUCACACCGGAUCACGGCCAUUCACAUGUACUCAGUGUGGAAAUUGUUUCAAACGCAAAAGUCAUUUUGAGGAACACAUGAAAAUUCACACUGGAGAGCGCCCAUUCACGUGUUCUCAGUGUGGAAAGGGUUUCAAACGCAGAUGUCAUUUUAAGGACCACAUGAGAAUUCACACUGGAGAGCACCCAUACAGGUGUCCUCAGUGUGAAAAGAGUUUUAAACACAAAAAUCAUCUUGAGGACCACAUAAGAAUUCAUACUGGAGAGCGCCCGUUCACAUGUCCUCAGUGUGAAAAGAGUUUCAAACAGAAAAAUCAUCUUGAUGACCACAUAAGAAUUCACACUGGAGAGCGCCCGUUCACAUGUCCUCAGUGUGAAAAGAGUUUCACACAGAAAAAUCAUCUUAAGAAUCAUAUGAGAAUUCACACUGGAGAACCAACACAGUCUCACCAGAGUUUAUGAAGUCGUGCUGAGGGACAUGAUUUCCCCCCUUUCUUUCUCAAUGUACACAAAUCAUUAAAUGCUAAAUUUCGUGCCUAUGCCAUGAACUGCCUCAGACUUUCAAACAGAUAUUAAAUCUUGAGGGGACAUACGUAAAAUCACACAGAAUUUUCAGAAAACAAGUCUUGAGAUGCACCUGUGUACACACACUGGAGAGCGUCCAUGAACAUGUGUUCAUUUGAAUUUGAUGGUGAAGAUGGUGACAUUAUUUCUUCACUGUUCCUUGUUUAGCUAAUGUAUAUUUGUGAGGGUCCUCAGUAACAUGGUGAACAGCCAUUACAACCCACUUGUUGUUGACAUUUUACUGUUCCUCACAUAACAUAUUCUGCUUGUAAAAAUGCUAUUACAGAUAUCAAGAAAUUUUUUAAUUUUCAUAAAAAUCAUAUUCAUGUGGGAAAUAGAAAUGAGUGGCGGCAAGGACAAGGAAACUGUAUUCCUUCAACAUACUAUGAUUUAGGAAAUACCCCUUAUAAUUUCCAAUAAUGUGUAAGACAGGUAGAAUGCAAGUGGUUAUGCAGGAUCAGAGUUUAUAGGAUGAACUUAAGUCAGCUGUUCUUUAACUGAAAACUCAGACUAUGCGGCCCAAUUUGCAUAUUAUGUGUCCUAAUUAGAAUUUUAACUUUAUUGACACCUUUUUUUAAGAAGCUAAUAAGUUAAAAGUUGUAUUUAUUUAUUUUGCAGACCUGUUCCACCAUACCACACAGUGACGUUCAGUGAAGCCAUUAACAAGUAACCGAACACUUCAUUCAAAAGUACCAGUAGAGCAAAUCCAGUGUGACAGUUUAAAAAAAAAACUUAAAUGAAAGUUGGAGACAUGAUUGAGCCAACCCCCUGCAGAAUGCAACAUGAAGAUAUUGACAAACAAAUAGAUAUGUUAAAUGAAGAAAGUGAUGAAAUGAAUGAAGAGGAGAAACAACAGGGUCAGACACCUCAGAAAUUAA